rnacentral:rRNA from 1 species
GCACAAGCGGUGGAGCAUGUGGCUUAAUUCGACGCAACGCGAAGAACCUUACCAAGGCUUGACAUACACCGGAAAGCAUUAGAGAUAGUGCCCCCCUUGUGGUCGGUGUACAGGUGGUGCAUGGCUGUCGUCAGCUCGUGUCGUGAGAUGUUGGGUUAAGUCCCGCAACGAGCGCAACCCUUGUCCCGUGUUGCCAGCAGGCCCUUGUGGUGCUGGGGACUCACGGGAGACCGCCGGGGUCAACUCGGAGGAAGGUGGGGACGACGUCAAGUCAUCAUGCCCCUUAUGUCUUGGGCUGCACACGUGCUACAAUGGCCGGUACAAUGAGCUGCGAUACCGUGAGGUGGAGCGAAUCUCAAAAAGCCGGUCUCAGUUCGGAUUGGGGUCUGCAACUCGACCCCAUGAAGUCGGAGUCGCUAGUAAUCGCAGAUCAGCAUUGCUGCGGUGAAUACGUUCCCGGGC